rnacentral:rRNA from 1 species
CCUACGGGAGGCAGCAGUGAGGAAUAUUGGUCAAUGGACGAGAGUCUGAACCAGCCAAGUAGCGUGAAGGAUGACUGCCCUAUGGGUUGUAAACUUCUUUUAUAUGGGAAUAAAAUGUUCCACGUGUGGGAUUUUGUAUGUACCAUAUGAAUAAGGAUAGGCUAACUCCGUGCCAGCAGCCGCGGUAAUACGGAGGAUCCGAGCGUUAUCCGGAGUUAUUGGGUUUAAAGGGAGCGUAGGUGGAUUGUUAAGUCAGUUGUGAAAGUUUGCGGCUCAACCGUAAAAUUGCAGUUGAAACUGGCAGUCUUGAGUACAGUAGAGGUGGGCGGAAUUCGUGGUGUAGCGGUGAAAUGCUUAGAUAUCACGAAGAACUCCGAUUGCGAAGGCAGCUCACUGGACUGCAACUGACACUGAGGCUCGAAAGUGUGGGGAUCAAACAGGAUUAGAUACCCUUGUAGUC